rnacentral:rRNA from 1 species
GACGAACGUUUGCGGCGUGCUUAACACAUGCAAGUCGAACGGAAAGGCCCUGCUUUUGUGGGGUGCUCGAGUGGCGAACGGGUGAGUAACACGUGAGUAACCUGCCCUUGACUUUGGGAUAACUUCAGGAAACUGGGGCUAAUACCGGAUAGGAGCUCCUGCUGCAUGGUGGGGGUUGGAAAGUUUCGGCGGUUGGGGAUGGACUCGCGGCUUAUCAGCUUGUUGGUGGGGUAGUGGCUUACCAAGGCUUUGACGGGUAGCCGGCCUGAGAGGGUGACCGGCCACAUUGGGACUGAGAUACGGCCCAGACUCCUACGGGAGGCAGCAGUGGGGAAUAUUGCACAAUGGGCGGAAGCCUGAUGCAACAACGCCGCGUGCGGGAUGACGGCCUUCGGGUUGUAAACCGCUUUCGCCUGUGACGAAGCGUGAGUGACGGUAAUGGGUAAAGAAGCACCGGCUAACUACGUGCCAGCAGCCGCGGUGAUACGUAGGGUGCGAGCGUUGUCCGGAUUUAUUGGGCGUAAGGGGCUCGUAGGUGGUUGAUCGCGUCGGAAGUGUAAUCUUGGGGCUUAACCCUGAGCGUGCUUUCGAUACGGGUUGACUUGAGGAAGGUAGGGGAGAAUGGAAUUCCUGGUGGAGCGGUGGAAUGCGCAGAUAUCAGGAGGAACACCAGUGGCGAAGGCGGUUCUCUGGGCCUUUCCUGACGCUGAGGAGCGAAAGCGUGGGGAGCGAACAGGCUUAGAUACCCUGGUAGUCCACGCUGUAAACGGUGGGUACUAGGUGUGGGGUCCAUUCCACGGGUUCCGUGCCGUAGCUAACGCUUUAAGUACCCCGCCUGGGGAGUACGGCCGCAAGGCUAAAACUCAAAGGAAUUGACGGGGCCCCGCACAAGCGGCGGAGCAUGCGGAUUAAUUCGAUGCAACGCGUAGAACCUUACCUGGGUUUGACAUGGAUCGGGAGUGCUCAGAGAUGGGUGUGCCUCUUUUGGGGUCGGUUCACAGGUGGUGCAUGGCUGUCGUCAGCUCGUGUCGUGAGAUGUUGGGUUAAGUCCCGCAACGAGCGCAACCCUUGUUCACUGUUGCCAGCACGUUAUGGUGGGGACUCAGUGGAGACCGCCGGGGUCAACUCGGAGGAAGGUGGGGAUGACGUCAAGUCAUCAUGCCCCUUAUGUCCAGGGCUUCACGCAUGCUACAAUGGCUGGUACAGAGAGUGGCGAGCCUGUGAGGGUGAGCGAAUCUCGGAAAGCCGGUCUCAGUUCGGAUUGGGGUCUGCAACUCGACCUCAUGAAGUCGGAGUCGCUAGUAAUCGCAGAUCAGCAACGCUGCGGUGAAUACGUUCCCGGG